CGUCGAUCUGCUGACACAGUUCACCUGGUUCACACGCCUGACCUGGCAUGCUGCCUUGCGUGAAAGGAACAUUUUUCCGAAAGCAAGCUUCUUCUCCAAAAUUCGAAAUUUCCUUCCAAAAAUGCCGUCGUCCUUGACCUCGAAGCUGAAUGUUGUUAGGAUAGAAAAUUAGCGAAGAUGUAGCCGACCCAUUCUGGCAAGCCGUGUGCCCUCUGGAUAUGCAGUUGUUCGCCAUGGUCAACAAUCUUCUUCUCCUUCGUUCGUACUUUCACUUUCCUGACCACGAAUACAAGCGGUACCCAUGCUCAGGACUCUGAGAAGCUGGAGGGACCCCACAAACCUCAAGCAUUGAGGAUACAACCUUUAACCAAGAACCAGGCAACAUGAUGUGCAUGUAUCACGUUCGCUGUGAUUGCAUCGUUUCAGGGUACACUGACAACAUACUAGUACUAGUAACUAGUCCUUGAUUAGCAGCAGUGGCCUGAAUUAUUGCCUGGCCGCUAUUCAUAUAAUCCUUUGGUGCUUAUGUAGUAUCCCUGCCCGACCAAUACGGAAGCAGUACGGAACUAAUACGGAGCUUGCCUGAUGUAUAUUUAGUGUAUCUCCGUAUGUAAGCGUACGUCGUCUGCUGCAUAAAAGCGGCUGCGCAUUUCUGUUUUGAUGAAGAUUAGAUUAGAUUGGAUAGCAAUGAAAGCUAACUCGAAGAAUAAGGAUUCAGCCUCUAGGUGAGCACCGGAGAGAAAGUCAUUUAUUUUGCCGCUUCUUCUUUCACUAACGAUUAUAUCUCAGGUGUGUACCUGAAAGUAGAAUAAAAGUAAUUAUUGUUGAUUUCACCGCGCCUACCACUCGGCUACCUAUUACAUUGGUGGCAGCGGUGUAGUUUUAAAUAAAACAACGUGAUUCGACUCCAGACCCCCAUGGCUCAACCCGCUGCAGCUCCCUGCGACGAAUCAAGAUGAGAAUCAUGUUUCUUGCCGUCCUGGGCUUGGCCCUACUUAUUAGCUUGCAGCACAGUCAGGGUGCUAGCGUGGAUCACCCUUCCCUCCGCAUGGCAUCCACUUGAGACUCCGAUGGCGAUUCCAAGCGACCCGCUACCUACAUGUUAACUACUGGUGGUGAUGGCGAAGCUGAUGAGGACGACAACAGGCAGGCUGCUGCCCAAGACAAGGAGGGUAUUCCCCAAGACCAGCAGCGUUUGAUUUUCGCCGGCACGCAGUUGGCAGACGGCCGAACCCUGAGUGACCACAAUAACGUUCAGAAGGAGUCCACUCUUUAUUUGGUACUUCGCCUCCGUGGUGGGAUGCAUAUUGUCGUCAACACUCUUCCUGGCUAGACCAUCACUCUUUAUGUCGCGCCAAGCGAUGCUGUCGACAACGUGAAGACCACGAUUCAAGACGAGGAGGGAUGUUAUUUGUCUGACGCCGAGCUAGCCGCUCUGAGUCACCGGCUCAACCAAGAUGAAGAUAAAACCUGGCUCGCCCUCCGCCAUAGCUCCAGCCGCCGCCGUGGUUACUAACGCUGAUUCCAGGUAUGGCAUUUUCUUUCCUGUCUUCCUUCAGUCUCCCUGUUCUCUUCAGUCUUCCUUUAUGCGAGUGUGUGAAUCCAGUUUAGUUUGGUAGGCGUCUGAUCAUGGUGAGCCACGGCUUACCCAGCUAACCUGGGACAAUGUGUGUGACAACGCCCCUUAUAGUUAUAGUGUAUUCAGUUUGGUUUUUGAACUGCGAUGUUCCUGGCGGGUUGUGCCAGCGUUGUGCAGCAAGAGUGCUGUGGAUUUUCAGGUCCUAUUUGGAGAACAGUUCUUUCCCCUUUUGACCCCGUGAGAUCGUGUGAACCUGGUGUGCUUCUACUUUAUGAUUUGUUAUCAGUUCAUUUCUUCUGUCUACUCUAAACGUUAUCAUUUCCGAUAUAAUUUGCCAUCUUCCGGUUGACGCUGUGUUCGUAACUCUUCACUAAUUUUUUGAAAACCACGAGGGCGUGAUAAUCUGUAGGAAGGGAGGGUGUAGUAUCCCUGCCCGACCAAUACGGAAGCAGUACGGAACUAAUACGGAGCUUGCCUGAUGUAUAUUUAGUGUAUCUCCGUAUGUAAGCGUACGUCGUCUGCUGCAUAAAAGCGGCUGCGCAUUUCUGUUUUGAUGAAGAUUAGAUUAGAUUGGAUAGCAAUGAAAGCUAACUCGAAGAAUAAGGAUUCAGCCUCUAGGUGAGCACCGGAGAGAAAGUCAUUUAUUUUGCCGCUUCUUCUUUCACUAACGAUUAUAUCUCAGGUGUGUACCUGAAAGUAGAAUAAAAGUAAUUAUUGUUGAUUUCACCGCGCCUACCACUCGGCUACCUAUUACACUUACUCAUCGCCUUGUUCUGUCUCUAAAAUGGCGUAUGGGUGUUCCGAGGCUUGUAAUAUUUGCUCAAGCCGCGCAUUGGCAUUGGUGUAUGUCGGUAAAUGCCACCCACUGCUGCCUAGCUCAACAUGUUUUGUAUGAUGUAGAAUGCGCUCUGUGUAUCUACAAUCGAGUGACCUGCUCGUGUGGGCCAACUGCAAUUACACCAACAGUUGCACUAGUAUGUGCACUGUGCUGGCACAGUGUAUCAUACUCAGUCUUGUCACUUCUUCUCCCACUUUUACUGUAUUGUUUAAUUCACUGUACACAUCUUGCCCAGCUCCUCUAAGGCCACACAGAAUUAGUUUGUUGUUUUGGGCCACUACACUCAGCUGGUGUAAGGUUGGUCUGCUUCUCUCUUCCUUCUCUUUGACGUGUCCAGCCAAUCAUUCAUGUCAAGCUUUGCAUAACUUAAAUCACUGUAUAUACAGUCACCUGGCUGGAAACGUCCAUGCCUGCAAAAUCGCAUCUUUCUUGAGGGACCCCAUUUUAUAGAGUGGACGACAUUCACUUUCCUGAUAGACUCACCUCAGAUGUUGGUAUUGUACCCAUCCCUGAUUUGUACAUGCACCACGUUUUUGGCAACUCCGAACAGUGAGAAUGUCUGCUGUGGAUAGUUCUCAUGCUUUAAACUCAUUCCUAAAUUGAAUGUAAACAAGUACAGUAUAAUACCACCAAAAUGUAGUUCAUUACAA